GGCCGCCUGGCGAAAUGGCAUCGCGUCUGACUACGAAUCAAGUACAUAUAUGUAGACGAAUCAGGAGAUUGCAGGUUCGACCCCUGCGGUGGUCA
rnacentral:tRNA from 1 species